GACGAACGCUGGCGGCGUGGAUUAGGCAUGCAAGUCGAACGGUAUCAUCCUUUCGGGGGUGAGAGAGUGGCGAACUGGUGAGUAACACGUAGGUUAUCUACCCUCAAGACGGGGACAACCCAGGGAAACUUGGGCUAAUACCGGAUGUGAGCAACUUUUAGUUGUUUGAAAGGUGGCGUAAGCUGUCGCUUGGGGAUGAGCCUGCGUCCUAUUAGUUAGUUGGUGAGGUAACGGCUCAUCUAGGCAAUGAUAGGUAGGCGGCCUUAACGGGUGGUCGCCCACACUGGGAUUGAGAUACGGCCCAGACUCCUACGGGAGGCAGCAGUGGGGAAUUUUGGACAAUGGGCGCAAGCCUGAUCCAGCAAUGCCGCGUGCAGGAAGAAGGCCUUCGGUUGUAACUGCUUUGUUCAGGGAGAAAUCUUCUGAGCUAAUACCUCGGGAGGAUGACGGUACCUGAAGAAUAAGCACCGGCUAACUACGUGCCAGCAGCCGCGGUAAAACGUCUA
rnacentral:rRNA from 1 species